rnacentral:rRNA from 1 species
UGUAGCCGUAGCGGCGAAAUCCAUGAUCCUAUGCUGCCGAGAAAAGCCUCUAGCGAGCUGGUACAUGGCCCGUACCCCAAACCGACACAGGUGGUCGGGUAGAGAAUACUAAGGCGAUCGAGAGAACUGUGGUUAAGGAACUCGGCAAAAUGCCCCCGUAACUUCGGGAGAAGGGGGACCAGUCCUGGUGACGACAUUUACUGUCUGAGCUGGGGUUGGUCGCAGAGACCAGAGAGAAGCGACUGUUUACUAAAAACACAGGUCCGUGCGAAGUCGUAAGACGAUGUAUACGGACUGACGCCUGCCCGGUGCUGGAAGGUUAAGAGGACCGGUCAGCCACUUCGGUGGCGAAGCUGAGAAUUUAAGCCCCAGUAAACGGCGGUGGUAACUAUAACCAUCCUAAGGUAGCGAAAUUCCUUGUCGGGUAAGUUCCGACCUGCACGAAUGGCGUAACGACUUCUCUGCUGUCUCAACCACAGACUCGGCGAAAUUGCAGUACGAGUAAAGAUGCUCGUUACGCGCGGCAGGACGAAAAGACCCCGGGACCUUCACUAUAGCUUGGUAUUGGUGUUCGGUUCGGUUUGUGUAGGAUAGGUGGGAGACUGUGAAACUCGCACGCCAGUGUGGGUGGAGUCAUUGUUGAAAUACCACUCUGACCGUAUUGGACAUCUAACCUCGGACCAUGAUCUGGUUCAGGGACAGUGCCUGGUGGGUAGUUUAACUGGGGCGGUUGCCUCCUAAAAAGUAACGGAGGCGCCCAAAGGUUCCCUCAGCCUGGUUGGCAAUCAGGUGUUGAGUGUAAGUGCACAAGGGAGCUUGACUGUGAGACGUACAUGUCGAGCAGGGACGAAAGUCGGGACUAGUGAUCCGGCACCGGCAAGUGGAAGCGGUGUCGCUCAACGGAUAAAAGGUACCCCGGGGAUAACAGGCUGAUCUUCCCCAAGAGUCCAUAUCGACGGGAUGGUUUGGCACCUCGAUGUCGGCUCGUCGCAUCCUGGGGCUGGAGUAGGUCCCAAGGGUUGGGCUGUUCGCCCAUUAAAGCGGCACGCGAGCUGGGUUUAGAACGUCGUGAGACAGUUCGGUCUCUAUCCGCCGCGCGCGUAAGAAACUUGAGGAAACCUGUCCCUAGUACGAGAGGACCGGGACGGACGAACCUCUGGUGUGCCAGUUGUUCCACCAGGAGCACCGCUGGUUAGCUACGUUCGGAAGGGAUAACCGCUGAAAGCAUCUAAGCGGGAAGCCUGUUCCAAGAUGAGGUUUCUCACCACCUAGCGUGGUUAAGGCCCCCCACAGACCAUGGGGUUGAUAGGCCAGAACUGUAAGCACAGCAAUGUGUUCAGGUGACUGGUACUAAUCGGCCGAGGACUUACC